CUUUCAUCAUGGACUACCACCGCUGCUGUCCUCUUUGGUGUAGACGGGCUCGAUGCCUCAUCGCGCCGUUGUUGUUAUAGUCAGAUUCCAGCGAGGCAGCAAGGGAUCGCCGCCGUCAUUCCCUCGGCUCGACUGAACAGGCUGAACUCAAGAAGAAAAUGGAGAAGUUUAAGUUGAGCUUACCUCUUGGGGUCCAGAUUGCAGCUGAAAUAAACUCUCUAUGAUUUUUGGUGCAUAAAGGAAGGAGGGGGAAUCGUAGUUGGUGAUUUUCAGGCUACUAUGAAGCCCUCAAUUUAUAGGCAGAUUAGGCCGCAAAACUUGAAAACUAUUUACAGCAAAUGUGGAAAUUUUGCUGCAAUUUUUGACAAAAAUGAAAUUGGUUGGUGGCUGCCAUAAUUUUUUUUGACUAAUAGUGGAAUUUCAUGUGAGACUUUGAAAAGUGGAGUACUCAUAGGGUGCAUCUGAUCCUAGUUGUAUCUUAGCAUGCUUCAAAUAUUAAAUUGUGACUUUUGCAGGGAAAAGAGUAUGACCUUAGCAGAGUUAAAGAAAAGGGGCUGCUAUGUGUGUACUAUCUAUAUUUUAUUUCUUGAUUUUGUAUACUCUAUUGAUAGUGUAGGAGCGUAGGGAGUGUGAAAGAAAAAUGAUGAUUGUAAGUAAAUAGAAUUGAGGUGACUAAUAAAAAUCUCUUGCCUUGAUUAAUUAAUCAA